rnacentral:sRNA from 2 species
CCGACAAGGCUCUUCAAGUUCAACUCGCAUGCUGAUGUACGACUGCUGGCAGACAUCUAGAGGGUGCAUUCCUCGAACAGAUUGAGAAAAAAAUGGUGCUUACCUGCAUGCCGUGUUCCAAACCACCACGAGCGACAUUUUGCAGCGGGCGGAUGGACUUGGGGACCGGCCACUGGCUGUCAACGCUGAUGCCCGUUACUGCUAAGGCGUGUGAAUAUUCUGGCCGGCGGAUAUGCUCAAUUUAGAGGCUCUGCACAUCCAUGCAUUGGUCUAGACGCCGCUUUGGGGGUUAUGGUUCUUCACGGCCAGUGCCUCUCAAGGGGGGUAAAAUUGUCAAAAUGAUAAAAUAUCCAAAAUGGCUUGAGUCCCCCAUGACAGAACUAUAAAUAUAUAUAUAUAUAUAUAUUACAUCGUCCCCUCGAAAAUAAAAAUCAGAGCUCAGGGAUACCAUUCGCUAAUAGUUUGGUAUUCACAAUAAUAGACAUAUCUCGCCCA